AUUGAGUGAGUGAGUAUGGCUUUACGCCGCUUUUAGAAAUAUUCCAGGAUUAUCACGACGGGGAAAAGCAGAAAGGGGCUCACACAUUGUGCCCAUGUGGGGCAUCGAACCCGGGUCUUCGACUUGACGAGCGAACG